GAGAGGCAGGAGCUCCCUCUGCCAUGAUAUGAGAAGCAGUGAGAAUCGCAGGUGAUGGGGAAUGCUGACACAGGCCAGACUGCCUAUAAGGUUCCUUCCUGGAGACAGAAGACUGGGAGCCAAGGACUAGAACCACUCCAGCUCUCCGGACAAAAUCCUGACUAACACUCGACUGUGGAAGUUCAAACCCUGCUGACCAUGGAACUGCAGCAUCACCCCCUAAGUUAUUAACUAACUAAUCUCCACAACACCCC